rnacentral:rRNA from 1 species
UACGUAGGGUGCGAGCGUUAAUCGGAAUUACUGGGCGUAAAGCGUGCGCAGGCGGUUUUGUAAGCCAGAUGUGAAAUCCCCGGGCUCAACCUGGGAAUGGCAUUUGGGACUGCAAGGCUUGAGUGCGGCAGAGGAGACUGGAAUUCCUGGUGUAGCAGUGAAAUGCGUAGAUAUCAGGAGGAAUACCGAUGGCGAAGGCAGGUCUCUGGGCCGACACUGACGCUCAUGCACGAAAGCGUGGGGAGCAAACAGG